rnacentral:rRNA from 1 species
AACGAACGCUGGCGGCAUGCCUAACACAUGCAAGUCGAACGAAGGCUUCGGCCUUAGUGGCGCACGGGUGCGUAACGCGUGGGAAUCUGCCCCUCGGUUCGGAAUAACAGUUAGAAAUGACUGCUAAUACCGGAUGAUGACUUCGGUCCAAAGAUUUAUCGCCGAGGGAUGAGCCCGCGUAAGAUUAGGUAGUUGGUGGGGUAAAGGCCUACCAAGCCGACGAUCUUUAGCUGGUCUGAGAGGAUGAUCAGCCACACUGGGACUGAGACACGGCCCAUACUCCUACGGGAGGAAGCAGUGGGGAAUAUUGGACAAUGGGCGAAAGCCUGAUCCAGCAAUGCCGCGUGAGUGAUGAAGGCCUUAGGGUUGUAAAGCUCUUUUACCAGGGAUGAUAAUGACAGUACCUGGAGAAUAAGCUCCGGCUAACUCCGCGCCAGCAGCCGCCGUAA